rnacentral:ncRNA from 1 species
AAAGAUUACUUUUAUAGAUUUUAAAUUUGAUUAUGGUUUGUGAAGUUUUAAAAUGGUAUUAUUUAAGUUUAAUUUAUUAUGUGGGCAAUAUUUUUUUACCCCGGCAAUUAAUUAUUUGUAUAAUACUUGUUCCAGAAUAAUCGGCUAGGCUUGUAGAAUUUAGACUUUAUUUUGUUUUAAUUAUAAUCACUAAUUUAGUAAGUUUAAUAAUUAUAGGUUAAAUUUUAAUUAAUUUAUAAAAAUGGUUAUAAUUUUAAGAUUUGAUAAUUGAAUUAGAUUAGUACCUAAUUAAACAGAAAUUAAAAAAGCAGUAGUAAAGUGGUGUUUAAACUGAAAGAAUAUUGGCAGAUUUUCUAAAUUAUCUUUGGAGGUUGAGUAAUAAUUGAGAACCCUCAUUAACUACUUUAAUAUUUGGUCUCAUGUAUGAUCGUUUAUUUUAUACUUAAGGUAUAUAAUAAAAAUUGUUUAUUUAUAAAAAUAGAUAUAUAUUUGGUUUAUGUAAGAGUAAAAUUUGACCUACAAUAUAUUGAUUUUGUGGAUUUGUAAUGUGGUUUUAUAAUGAAAAUGUAAAAGACAGUAAAAAAAUCUUAAUGUUUUUUUGAAGAUUAUUUAGAUGUGGUACAAAUCAUCCAUCAAUUGCCUAAAGGGGAGUAAGUUGUAGUAAAGUAGAUUUAGGGGAACCUGAAUCUAGUAAU